GUCCGGGUGGCGGAAUAGGCAGACGCGCUAGCUUGAGGUGCUAGUGCCCUUUAUCGGGCGUGGGGGUUCAAGUCCCCCCUCGGACACCA
rnacentral:tRNA from 3 species